rnacentral:rRNA from 1 species
UGGGGAAUCUUCCGCAAUGGACGAAAGUCUGACGGAGCAACGCCGCGUGAGUGAAGAAGGUUUUCGGAUCGUAAAACUCUGUCUUUUGGGGCGAACGUGAGUAUGGUGAACAAUCAUAGUCAGUGACGGUACCAAAGGAGGAAGCCACGGCUAACUACGUGCCAGCAGCCGCGGUAAUACGUAGGUGGCAAGCGUUGUCCGGAAUUAUUGGGCGUAAAGAGCGCGUAGGCGGGAUAGUCAGUCUGUUGUAAAAGUGCGGGGCUCAACCCCGUGAUGGCAAUGGAAACAGCUAUUCUUGAGUGCAGGAGAGGAAAGUGGAAUUCCCAGUGUAGCGGUGAAAUGCGUAGAUAUUGGGAGGAACACCAGUGGCGAAGGCGACUUUCUGGACUGUGUCUGACGCUGAGGCGCGAAAGCCAGGGGAGCGAACGGGAUUAGAUACCCCGGUAGUCCUGGCCGUAAACGAUGGGUACUAGGUGUGGGAGGUAUCGGCCCCUUCCGUGCCGGAGUUAACGCAAUAAGUACCCCGCUGGGGAGUACGGUCGCAAGACUGAAACUCAAAGGAAUUGACGGGGUCAUAGCUGUUUCCUG